UUCUAUCAUAGCCCAUAUAUUUUCCUGGAGUUGGAGAAUGAGGGCGAGAUCGCUUGGCUUUCUGAACGUUAAGUACUCGUCCGUAAAAUUCCUGAGAGUUCAAAUUGUCAAUAGCUGAGGUUGCUUCCUCAACAGUUGAAAAUGAUAAGAACCCAAAACCCCUUGAAGCUUUUGUAACUGGUUCUCUCAUGAUUCUCACAUGAGUAACAGUACCAAACUUGGAGAAGAUUUGCUGAAGCUCGUCCUCUUGCAUUCUGGAAGCAAUUCCACUAACAAAUAAAUCAUUGCCUAGAUUUUCGGAUCCUUCAGGAGCGCUUUGCGGCUCUUUCUUAUCGAGAGCAGUAGAUUCAUUGUUCGGGUCGACUUCAUCUUCGUUCAUCGACUGCAAAGGUUCCCCCGCAGUGUCAAGCUGGUGUACAUUCAUAGCAAUAGACCCUGCGUCAGAGUCUGUCUCCCCAGCAUCUUUCUCAAUCUCAAGUUGGUGUAUAUCCUGAGAAGUUUCCGUUUCUAAAACUGCCGAACCAGCUACGUCGGCGUUUGGGAUUUCAAAUGAUUCCUCAGAUGUCGCGGGAGGUAGAGUAUCCAUUUCUCAAAUAAAGUAUAUGAUGAAUAAAGGGA